rnacentral:rRNA from 1 species
CCUACGGGUGGCAGCAGUGGGGAAUUGUUCACAAUGGGCGCAAGCCUGAUGACGCAACGCCGCGUGGGGGAUGAAGGUCUUCGGAUCGUAAACCCCUGUCGAACGGGACGAAAGACUCUGGUUCUAAUCAGCCGGAGAGUGACGGUACCGUUAAAGGAAGCCACGGCUAACUCUGUGCCAGCAGCCGCGGUAAUACAGAGGUGGCAAGCGUUGUUCGGAAUUACUGGGCGUAAAGGGCGCGUAGGCGGCCUUCUAAGUCAGACGUGAAAUCCCCCGGCUUAACCAGGGAACUGCGUCUGAUACUGGAAGGCUAGAGUAUGGGAGAGGGAUGUAGAAUUCCAGGUGUAGCGGUGAAAUGCGUAGAUAUCUGGAGGAAUACCGGUGGCGAAGGCGGCAUCCUGGACCAUUACUGACGCUGAGGCGCGAAAGCUAGGGGAGCAAACGGGAUUAGAUACCCCAGUAGUC